UGGUGCCCUCUUUAGUACCACAUAAAUUAAGUUGGAAUGAUAUUAAAAUUAGAAAGGCCCCUGCUUAAGGAUAACACAAAUUUGUGAAGCAUUCUAUUUGUUU